rnacentral:rRNA from 1 species
GAUGAACGCUGGCGGCGUGCCUAAUACAUGCAAGUCGAGCGAACAGAUGAGGAGCUUGCUCCUCUGACGUUAGCGGCGGACGGGUGAGUAACACGUGGAUAACCUACCUAUAAGACUGGGAUAACUUCGGGAAACCGGAGCUAAUACCGGAUAAUAUAUUGAACCGCAUGGUUCAAUAGUGAAAGACGGUUUUGCUGUCACUUAUAGAUGGAUCCGCGCCGCAUUAGCUGGUUGGUAAGGUAACGGCUUACCAAGGCAACGAUGCGUAGCCGACCUGAGAGGGUGAUCGGCCACACUGGAUCUGAGACACGGUCCAGACACCGACGGGAGGCAGCAGUAGGGAAUCUUCCGCAAUGGGCGAAAGCCUGACGGAGCAAAGCCGCGUGAGUGAUGAAGGCCUUCGGAUCGUAAAACUCUGUUAUUAGGAAAGAACAAAUGUGUAAGUAACUAUGCACGUCUUGACGGUACCUAAUCAGAAAGCCACGGCUAACUACGUG